GGGUGUGGGAGGGGGGUGGGGGGUGGGGGUGGGGGGUAUCGGGGAAACUGGGGAAGAUGGGAGAGCUGGAGGAGAGUCGUGGGGUCCGAGGAGCACCUCGGCAUCUGGAGUCUGGCAGGAAUGUUGAAGGACUGAGGGGCUAGCUCAGGCAGAGCAAAGGCAUCGCAAAGGCUGGAAAACAUCGGAGUGAAGCUGAAGGGCCUGAGCUAGGGUUGGAGAGGAAUGGGGAGCCAGACAUUCAUCCCGGUUACUUUUGGUUACAGGACGUGGCGGCUGGUCGGAUAAAGGGGAGCUGCUGGGAAGGGUUCGACCCCAGACCUGGGCAGUGAAGGUAUAGCUGGCAGCAGUGGGCAGGUGAGGACCGCCGUCUGCUGGGCAGGUGAGUCUCCUUCUUCUCUCUUGGCCUCGCUCCACUGACCUUCUAAACGAAGGUUUAGAGAGGGGGCCUGGUGAGAAGAAGCGGCUGGCCUCGCAGCAGAAUGGCACAUAGAAAGGCAGGAUAGUUAGCAAAGGAGACAUCGUCUCGGGGGGAGCCGAGACAGAAGGAGGCUGGGGGACCAUUGGCGACCCCAGGUGGAAAGAGCUCUUAGAGAGAAGAAAGAAGAGGUGCAGGGUUGCCAGUAAAGACUGAGGCCGCUGCCUCCAGGGAGGUGAUAGGAGUCCUUGGAGACAGUGGCAGAGACCAUGGGAUCCAGCAAGAACAGAAGCAUUCUAGGCUGGGGUCAAACAGGGCAAGAUGGGGUCACAAGACACAGAUGGGUCCCCAGCCGCCACAACAUCCCACCCACCGUAAUUCACUUAGAAGAAGGUUCAAGAGUGGCUCUGGCAAAGUCCCAAGUUUGCCAGAGCCUCAAUAACUGGAGAAUGGAAAAGAAGGGCAGUGCAGGGUGUCACCAGAAGGGGAGUGGGGGCUGCAGGUAUCGGACUCCAGAGGGAUUUUACAGCAAGGAGGCUGCAGUGGGUCCAGCCUGCAGACACACCAUUCCCAUGAGGCACUGCGGCCCAGGGACUGGUGCGGAAAGGGCCCACAGUGGACUUGGUACACUGUAUGCCCUAACCGCUCAGUCCCUGGGUCUGGCAUGACAGACAGAACAUUUCCAGGGGAGUCAAGGGCACAGGAUGAAGCCAGACGAGGCGAGGCAGGCGGGGCAGAAUGAAUGAGUUUCUAGGGAGGGAGGUUGGGUGCAGGUAGAGCGAGUAGCUGGGGUGGUGAGCCAGGGAGGCACUGGCCUCCAGAGUCCGUGGCCAAGGAGGGCCUUGCGGGCGGCGACGGAGCAGUGAUCGGUGUCUCGAAGAGCUCGGACUGGAGACUAGGCCAGGUCUCCAGCAGAGGUGGAUGUGCCUGCCAGUCACUGAAGGCGAGGAUGACAGGUGUGGUCAAUGUGACAGAAAGACAUGACAUGGUCCGGUGUGAUGGAGAGGACAGAAGGGCAGUCAUCCAGCCUUCUUGAACACCAUGGGCUGGCGCCUUGUCGUAGAAGCCGUCUGUUCUUUCACUUUUCCCAAAGAGCUAACACUUCUCUGCUGCUCUCUGGAUCCUCCUCCCCCUACCUUGAACCCUCAAGAUGAAAGAAAUGGUGCUACCCAGCUCAUGUCUGGGCCUUUGAAUCCGGGGACUUCUUUAAGUCCGUCUCGUUCUGAAUCAAGAAGAUGCUGCAAUCAGAACCACUACACUACCUGCCUCAGGAAUCUGCUCCAAGGUGAAGCUGAAAGAACAGAUGGUGUCAACAUUUUGAAAGAGCAGACUCAUAGCACCCACCCACCCCUGAGAAUCCAUCUUCAUGGCCAACUCUGCCUGACCCGGGAGACCACCACCCACAUCAUCCUGGAGCCAAGCCUCUACCCCGGGAUGACUUCAUCAUCUCCCUCCUGUCUUUUUCUUCUUCCUCCUUUCCUGUAAUUCUGUUUCUUUCCUUUUGUUCCUUCCUUGCUUGAGAGACUCAAAGCACCCGUGACUCUGUUUCCCCAUUUACCCCCUUUUGAAUUUGCACUAAGUCGAUUGCACUGGUUUGGAGUCCCGGAGAUAGCUUUGAGUCUCUCCGUAUGAAUGUAUACAGCGAGUGUGUAAACCUCUUUGGCAAUGCUGCCCCAGUACCCACCUGUCGUCCAUCUCCGUCUGAGGGCAACUGGGUGUGGCCGUGUGCUUGAGGCCUCGCCUUCCCCUCGCCUAGUCUGGAAGCAGUUCCAUCAUAAAGUGUUCAACAUGCCCUACUUCAUCCUUUGCCCCUCCUCACCAGGGCCUCACCAGAGGUCCUGGGUCCAUCAAUAAAUACAGUUACAGUCAUU
rnacentral:lncRNA from 1 species